UUUUCUGAGCAAGUGUAGUCAACGAGAGUCAAACACGAUUUGUCUCGUAUCUUUUUAGAUUAGUUUAUGAAUCUCCUUUUUUGCCUAUAUUCUCAAAGUUUGAGGUAGUAACUGUGUGUGUAUCAUACUAUACCAUCGUAAUGUCUCGUGAGGCAAGGGUGGAUUGCGUAAAUUAGCAGAGUGCGGAUCUGCUAAAAGGAAAUUAUUUAAUUGGGACGUCUGCUAAUGUGCUUAUUUUUCUCAUUAAUUAAUGAUAUUUUCAGAAACGACUUUUUUAAUGCAUCGUAUACAUUUGUUUAAAGCUACAAAUGUGUGGGAUGCUGCUCGUAAGUUAUAUAACUAUUUAUAAUUAUAAAUACUGUAUAAAGUUAUUUGAAGUCAACUUUAAGUAUAUGGAUGAACUGGUUAUAAUGAUUUGAGUGAUUACAUUGUGUUUUAUUGAACUCGUUUGUAUUAUUAUGCCUUUUGACAACAUGACGACAAUUCAAAACAAAAGAAAAAGGCAACCUAUGUUUUAGUUUAUACCAAGAAAAUGGAACCUAAAAAAAUUAAAUCCUCUCAUUGUUUUGCUUUGCGUCUAUCGUUUUGUAACGCACCGACACGCACUGACAUACCAAGUGACUUGCUACCUCAGAUUAUCUGGGGUAGACUUCGGUGGUUAAAAGAAGGUUAGUCCGUGGAUUUCACUCCCUUCACCCGCAUCUUCCUUAUCAGGCCCAAAGGGAGUUAAACGAGUUACGCUCGUUGCGAUAACAUGUAAGCUACGCAGUUUGGUAUCUGAUUUAAGGAUACGUAGAACUGCGGUGAGUUUUCCUUGUGGUCUAUUAUAUUACAAUACACAGGUUGUAUAAGUAGCAACUGAGUAUAGGUAUUGUAUUAACUGGGUUAUAAUGUUACCUAUCACUAAUAUAGCUCAUAAC